GGAAGAGUGUCCGAGUGGUUUAAGGAACUGGUCUUGAAAACCAGCGAGCGGGCAACCGUUCCGUGGGUUCGAAUCCCACCUCUUCCGCCA
rnacentral:tRNA from 1 species